UGGGGAAUCUUGCGCAAUGGGCGGAAGCCUGACGCAGCAACGCCGCGUGCGGGAUGACGGCCUUCGGGUUGUAAACCGCUUUCAGUGGGGACGAAUGUGACGGUACCCACAGAAGAAGCCCCGGCCAACUACGUGCCAGCAGCCGCGGUAACACGUAGGGGGCGAGCGUUGUCCGGAUUCAUUGGGCGUAAAGAGCUCGUAGGCGGCUCGGUAAGUCGGGUGUGAAAUCUUCAGGCUCAACCUGGGGAGGCCACUCGAUACUGCCGUGGCUAGAGUCCAGUAGGGGAGUGUGGAAUUCUCGGUGUAGCGGUGAAAUGCGCAGAUAUCGGGAGGAACACCGGCGGCGAAGGCGGCACUCUGGGCUGGUACUGACGCUGAGGAGCGAAAGCGUGGGUAGCAAACAGGAUUAGAUACCCUGGUAGUCCACGCCGUAAACGUUGGGCACUAGGUGUGGGGCCUUCCAACGGGUUCCGUGCCGUAGCUAACGCAUUAAGUGCCCCGCCUGGGGAGUACGGCCGCAAGGCUAAAACUCAAAGGAAUUGACGGAGUGUACGA
rnacentral:rRNA from 1 species